UACGUAGGGGGCAAGCGUUGUCCGGAUUUAUUGGGCGUAAAGAGCGUGUAGGCGGCCAGGUAGGUCCGUUGUGAAAACUCGAGGCUCAACCUCGAGACGUCGGCGGAAACCCUCUGGCUAGAGUCCGGAAGAGGAGAGUGGAAUUCCUGGUGUAGCGGUGAAAUGCGCAGAUAUCGGGAGGAACACCGGUGGCGAAGGCGGUUCUCUGGACAGUUCCUGACGCUGAGGCACGAAGGCCAGGGGAGCAAACGGG
rnacentral:rRNA from 1 species